AACGAACGCUGGCGGCAUGCCUAACACAUGCAAGUCGAACGAAGCCUUCGGGCUUAGUGGCGCACGGGUGCGUAACGCGUGGGAAUCUGCCCUUGGGUUCGGAAUAACAGUUAGAAAUGACUGCUAAUACCGAAUGAUGUCUUCGGACCAAAGAUUUAUCGCCCAAGGAUGAGCCCGCGUCGGAUUAGCUAGUUGGUGAGGUAAAGGCUCACCAAGGCGACGAUCCGUAGCUGGUCUGAGAGGAUGAUCAGCCACACUGGGACUGAGACACGGCCCAGACUCCUACGGAGGCAGCAGUGGGGAAUAUUGGACAAUGGGCGAAAGCCCUGAUCCAGCAAUGCCGCGU
rnacentral:rRNA from 1 species